rnacentral:misc_RNA from 1 species
AUGCGGAACGGGAGCCGGUUGCAGCCGG